rnacentral:rRNA from 1 species
GACGAACGCUGGCGGCGCGCUUAACACAUGCAAGUCGAGCGAGAACCAGGGCUUCGGCCCUGGGGACAGCGGCGAACGGGUGAGUAACACGUGGGUAAUCCACCCUCGGCACCGGAAUAGCCCGGGGAAACCCGGAUUAAUGCCGGAUGGCCCACCGGCCCUGCGGGGCUGGUGGAAAAGGUAGCUUCGGCCUCCGGCCGAGGACGAGCCCGCGACGGAUUAGCUUGUUGGUGGGGUAACGGCCUACCAAGGCUGCGAUCCGUAGCUGGUCUGAGAGGACGGUCAGCCACACUGGGACUGAGACACGGCCCAGACUCCUACGGGAGGCAGCAGUGGGGAAUCUUGCGCAAUGGGCGAAAGCCUGACGCAGCGACGCCGCGUGAGGGAAGAAGGCCUUCGGGUUGUAAACCUCUUUCAGGAGGGACGAAGCCACUCGGGUUAAUAGCCCAGAGGGUGACGGUACCUCCAGAAGAAGCCCCGGCUAACUACGUGCCAGCAGCCGCCGUAACAC